GCAAAUGUGGUGUAGUGGUUUGAGUGUUGGACUAUGACUCUGGAGACCAGGGUUCGAAUCCUCGCUUUCUCG